CAGGGUUCUAAAUGAACUUUUUUGAUCACCAGCCAAUGUGGCUGGUAACUUUUUAAAAAUUAUGAGUUUAUGAGAUGAGUGUCACUGAAUGCAUUUGAUCAUUUUAUUAACAUUGUUGGCAUGAAUACAUACCACAAAAUUUACACA